CAAGUCGAACGGGGUGGUGGGGCAACCUGCCAUUCAGUGGCGAACGGGUGAGUAAUGCAUCGGAACGUGUCCCGCAGUGGGGGAUAACGCCGCGAAAGCGGCGCUAAUACCGCAUACGCUCUGCGGAGGAAAGCGGGGGCCCGGAAACGGCCUCGUGCUAUGGGGGCGGCCGAUGUCCGAUUAGGUAGUUGGUGGGGUAAUGACCUACCAAGCCGACGAUCGGUAGCUGGUCUGAGAGGAUGAUCAGCCACACUGGGACUGAGACACGGCCCAGACUCCUACGGGAGGCAGCAGUGGGGAAUUUUGGACAAUGGGCGCAAGCCUGAUCCAGCCAUGCCGCGUGCGGGAAGAAGGCCUUCGGGUUGUAAACCGCUUUUAGCCGGGACGAAAGCGCCACGGAUAACACCCGUGGCGGUUGACGGUACCGGCGGAAUAAGCACCGGCUAACUACGUGCCAGCAGCCGCGGUAAUACGUAGGGUGCGAGCGUUAAUCGGAAUUACUGGGCGUAAAGCGUGCGCAGGCGGUUCGUUGUGUCGGCGGUGAAAGCCCCGGGCUCAACCUGGGAAUGGCCGUUGAAACUGGCGAACUGGAGUGUG
rnacentral:rRNA from 1 species